rnacentral:rRNA from 1 species
UUGAACGCUGGCGGCAUGCUUUACACAUGCAAGUCGAACGGCAGCGGGGGCUUCGGCCUGCCGGCGAGUGGCGAACGGGUGAGUAAUGCAUCGGAACGUACCCAGUUGUGGGGGAUAGCCCGGCGAAAGCCGGAUUAAUACCGCAUAAGUCCUGAGGGAGAAAGCGGGGGACCGCAAGGCCUCGCGCGAUUGGAGCGGCCGAUGUCAGAUUAGCUAGUUGGUGGGGUAAAGGCCUACCAAGGCGACGAUCUGUAGCUGGUCUGAGAGGACGACCAGCCACUCUGGGACUGAGACACGGCCCAGACUCCUACGGGAGGCAGCAGUGGGGAAUUUUGGACAAUGGGGGCAACCCUGAUCCAGCCAUUCCGCGUGAGUGAAGAAGGCCUUCGGGUUGUAAAGCUCUUUCGGCAGGAACGAAACGGUGUGGGCCAAUACCCUGCAUCAAUGACGGUACCUGAAGAAGAAGCACCGGCUAACUACGU